GAUAUAUCCCAAGGAAAGAAGAAUUUUGUAUUUAAACUCCCUUGGUGAAAGCGAAGCCAAACUGCAUCACUGCAAAAAGGUUGUAAGUGAUUUUAUGGCCAGCAAAGUCACUCCAACCGAAGAGUGGCAAUGUCAACGAUUGACACACAGCAUUCAGAGGAUGGGACUUCAUGUGGCGUAUUUGUCUGCAAGUUUGCAGAAGCAGUUCUAAAUGGAGGCAGUUUGGAGUUUCAGUGUACUGAUGCAGAUGUUGCUGUGAUGCGGCAAAACAUAGGCCUGUGUGUGCUACAGCAAACAG